CGCGUAGGUGGUUGUAUAAGUUAGAUGUGAAAUCCCUGGGCUUAACCUAGGAACUGCAUCUAGAACUGUAUGACUAGAGUAUUGUAGAGGGUAGUGGAAUUUCCGGUGUAACGGUGAAAUGCGUAGAGAUCGGAAGGAACACCAGUGGCGAAGGCGGGCUACCUGGACAAAUACUGACACUGAGGCGCGAAAGCGUGGGGAGCAAACA
rnacentral:rRNA from 1 species